rnacentral:lncRNA from 1 species
CUGACACCCAAAAGUACUCGUUACAUUUUGAAUGCUUAGCAGGACAGAAAAUGGUCCAAUUCACACACUUAUCAAGAGACUUUCACUUUUACUUGAGUAAUUUUCUAUUAAUGUAUCUUUACUUUUACUCAAGUAUGACAAUUGGGUACUUUUUCCACCACUGCGAAGAAUAUGGAAUUAGCAGCUACGAUAGACUCGACAUAUCAACGACCGACCGACAUAUCAACAACCAGCCUCUCAGUUUGGCAUGGUGUAUACAGAAGGACACCAAAUUCACAACGAGCAACAAUGUGUCUGUCAGCGAAAUUAAAAAGUUGAGGAAAGAGGGGCACAACAAAGCUGCCCACCAGUGAAUGGAUAAUGUACAUAUGGUACAUAAAAGAGACAAUGGGAGUGAACACCCUUGCAACAAUGCUGCCAAUGAUCUGCAAAAUACCUGGCCUGUCGCAGAUUUACACAAACUACUGCCUCCGAACCACCAUGAUCCAGAAAUGGUCGGAUGCUUGACUAGUGGCACGAUAAAUACUGUCUGUCAGAGGACACAGAUUGGAAACCUCUCUUCAAAGUUACUGGAGGCCAAAUCUGGAAGCGACGAAGCGGUAGAGCACUAUUCUCUCUGACAACACAGCAGCAGCUCCCCCAGCAAAAAAAAACGGCAUCCAUUUCCAGCAGCGUAGAACCAAUAAACGACACCAUGAGCAAACCAACAACAAAUGAUAAUGUGGGACAAUUUUAAUAAAUGGCAACAUUCAGAUCAACAUUAAUAAAUAGUUGGCAUGUGUUAGUCACUCUAGAAGUGGCGCUAAUGCUCGGUUUUUGCAUACAUUUAAUGUAAGCUUGCUAGCUAGCCUAUGGUUCUGUUGCAUAGCAACCAGUCAAGCAACAAGACUUGUCCGGACUACUUUUUCUGGUGGAAUGUAUAUAUUAUCAAUGUAUUCAUUAAAUGUACAUUUUCAAUUUAGAUGUGUAGUUCCUUGCCUUACUGUGUUGGCAACCGGUUUACAAAAGCAAUACGGUGCCUUGCAAAAGUAUUCAUCCCCCUUGGCGUCAUUCCUAUUUUGUUGCAUUACAACCUGUAAUUUAAAUAGAUUUUUAUUUGGAUUUCAUGUAAUGGACAUGUACAAAAUGC